ensembl:lncRNA
CCUACCUGACCAUCUGAGAUUCAGUGCUUAACUUCCAGAUGUUAAAGCCGGAUCUACAGUAUGUCUUCUAUGAAGAAAUCUCAUUUUUAUUUGAAGAACAGAAGCGAUGACCAUCUAAGCAUGCUCUCAGGUAAACUGUUCCUACAUUUAAUUAUCCUCGAGAUAAAAAUGUUUUCUUUAUUUUCAUACAAAUUGAACUUCAUUAUCUUUUUUUUCUUGUAUGUGUGUGUGUGUACUAGAAUUGUAAGGUGUCAACUACUAGAAAUCGUUUCCCUAUGCAGGUACUUCUAGAUUGAGCCACAGUAGCACGUGGAGCUAAAUAUGCUCUGUGUUUUCAAAACCAUUUAAACUGAUUGAACUAAACAAGAAGAGUGGGAUUCUCUUCUCAUAAUUAUGAAACACUACCGUCUUUUAUAAGGAAAAAAGUCAAAUAAGGUCUCUGCAGAGAGCCCCUGUUGUUUCUAGUAUUGCUUCACUUAACAUUAGGAAAUACUCACAUCAUUUAAAAAUGGAAUUGCCGAUUAUAAUUAGGGUAGGAGGAAGGGAGAAAACAGCGAAGGAAACAAGAGAACAGCAGUGUUGCCAGGACAUAGCAUUAGGGUGACAGAAAUCCUCACCAGCACCUCCUGUAAGAGGGGGUGGAUCCGCUCACAGGGGUGGAAAACACGUUACAAAAUUUCUUCUGUGACCCACAAAGCGGCGAGAAAAACUUACAGCAAGACUACAGCAUGAAAGAGUUUACAAGAUAAAAACAGCGAAACUAUGAGCAAAGGAAUGUAGGAGAAAUCCUGGGUUUCUCUUGCACCAUCUGCAGAGGUAUGGCAUAAUCAAAGCAAUACACACUGGGAAAUGUUGGAAGCUCAGAAAGAGUGUAAGAUUCGGCUACAGGCUACGUCCAAGUCUGGGAGGUUUUGUAGUAGAACAACAGACCUGGGGCCAUAGGCUCACGUUGGAGUCCAAUACUUGCAAUUAGCUCCCAAUUAGAGUCAUGUAGAUCUUAAGUAAUACCAUGGACUUCAGAGGUGUUACAGCUGAUAAUCGGGUCGAUACCAGUAGGGUACGCAGUCACCACCAGAACCUCAUUAAGCACGUAUGAUUAUUCAGAAAUAGCAGUAAUGUCUACCAGAGUUCUUUUAAUGGUUGUCAACAACACAAAGGAAGCUCAU